GUUGUUGGGUAGGGGAGCGUUCUGUAAGCCUGCGAAGGUGUGCUGUGAGGCAUGCUGGAGGUAUCAGAAGUGCGAAUGCUGACAUAAGUAACGAUAAAGCGGGUGAAAAGCCCGCUCGCCGGAAGACCAAGGGUUCCUGUCCAACGUUAAUCGGGGCAGGGUGAGUCGACCCCUAAGGCGAGGCCGAAAGGCGUAGUCGAUGGGAAACAGGUUAAUAUUCCUGUACUUGGUGUUACUGCGAAGGGGGGACGGAGAAGGCUAUGUUGGCCGGGCGACGGUUGUCCCGGUUUAAGCGUGUAGGCUGGUUUUCCAGGCAAAUCCGGAAAAUCAAGGCUGAGGCGUGAUGACGAGGCACUACGGUGCUGAAGCAACAAAUGCCCUGCUUCCAGGAAAAGCCUCUAAGCAUCAGGUAACAUCAAAUCGUACCCCAAACCGACACAGGUGGUCAGGUAGAGAAUACCAAGGCGCUUGAGAGAACUCGGGUGAAGGAACUAGGCAAAAUGGUGCCGUAACUUCGGGAGAAGGCACGCUGAUAUGUAGGUGAAGUCCCUCGUGGAGCUGAAAUCAGUCGAAGAUACCAGCUGGCUGCAACUGUUUAUUAAAAACACAGCACUGUGCAAACACGAAAGUGGACGUAUACGGUGUGACGCCUGCCCGGUGCCGGAAGGUUAAUUGAUGGGGUCAGCGCAAGCGAAGCUCUUGAUCGAAGCCCCGGUAAACGGCGGCCGUAACUAUAACGGUCCUAAGGUAGCGAAAUUCCUUGUCGGGUAAGUUCCGACCUGCACGAAUGGCGUAAUGAUGGCCAGGCUGUCUCCACCCGAGACUCAGUGAAAUUGAACUCGCUGUGAAGAUGCAGUGUACCCGCGGCAAGACGGAAAGACCCCGUGAACCUUUACUAUAGCUUGACACUGAACAUUGAGCCUUGAUGUGUAGGAUAGGUGGGAGGCUUAGAAGUGUGGACGCCAGUCUGCAUGGAGCCGACCUUGAAAUACCACCCUUUAAUGUUUGAUGUUCUAACGUUGACCCGUGAUCCGGGUUGCGGACAGUGUCUGGUGGGUAGUUUGACUGGGGCGGUCUCCUCCUAAAGAGUAACGGAGGAGCACGAAGGUUGGCUAAUCCUGGUCGGACAUCAGGAGGUUAGUGCAAUGGCAUAAGC
rnacentral:rRNA from 1 species